AGUGAACGCUGGCGGUAGGCCUAACACAUGCAAGUCGAACGGCAGCACAGUAAGAGCUUGCUCUUACGGGUGGCGAGUGGCGGACGGGUGAGGAAUACAUCGGAAUCUACUUUUUCGUGGGGGAUAACGUAGGGAAACUUACGCUAAUACCGCAUACGACCUACGGGUGAAAGCAGGGGAUCUUCGGACCUUGCGCGAUUGAAUGAGCCGAUGUCGGAUUAGCUAGUUGGCGGGGUAAAGGCCCACCAAGGCGACGAUCCGUAGCUGGUCUGAGAGGAUGAUGAGCCACACUGGAACUGAGACACGGUCCAGACUCCUACGGGAGGCAGCAGUGGGGAAUAUUGGACAAUGGGCGCAAGCCUGAUCCAGCCAUACCGCGUGGGUGAAGAAGGCCUUCGGGUUGUAAAGCCCUUUUGUUGGGAAAGAAAAGCAGCAGGUUAAUACCCCGAUGUUCUGACGGUACCCAAAGAAUAAGCACCGGCUAAAUUCGUG
rnacentral:rRNA from 1 species